rnacentral:tRNA from 1 species
AAGGGAGACCUACACCGUGAAGCGAAGACCGAAAUUGCGUCUCGUUAUCACAGGUCAAACCAAGGUCGGUUCAAAAAGCAUUAAUUGUGAUUUAAAAAAACUGUCAAACUAAUUGUUCUGGUUCAAAUUUUUUAAAAUAAGAAAAGAACUAAGAAUGGGCUAUUAGCUCAGGUGGUUAGAGCGCACCCCUGAUAAGGGUGAGGUCCCUGGUUCAAGUCCAGGAUGGCCCACCACAAUUACAUCGAACAUUUAUCAUCAAGCAAAGUUUUACUGUUAAAUGGUCAAUGUUGAAUGAUGAAUGAACAGAGGGGGUAUAGCUCAGCUGGUAGAGCGCCUGCUUUGCAAGCAGGAUGUCAGCGGUUCAAAUCCGCUUACCUCCACCAAGAGUUAACUGUAUAAGACUUAGUCGAAUCAAAGAAAUUAAAUUGAAUUAAAAUUCAGCACUAUCAUAGCUACAUAAGUAGAAUGAGGAUGCUGGACAUUAAUCAGUCCAGAGAAGAACCUUGAAAACUGCAUAAUAUCUAGAAGAAGCAAAAUAAGGCUCGAAGUCGAAAGACGAAAGAGUUAAUCUUGCUUGUGAUAGAGCCAAAAAAAAAACUAAGUAAUAAAUUUGGUCGACAACUAAAACGAUAAGUGAGAGCUUAUCAAAAAUUAGUCCAAGUAGGAUCGAACCUACUAAGCAAAGAACAAACAGUGUGAGAAAAAUAAUCAAACACUGAUGGCA